rnacentral:tRNA from 1 species
GCCCGGGUGGCGAAAUUGGUAGACGCAAGGGACUUAAAAUCCCUCGGGGGAAACUCCGUGCCGGUUCGACUCCGGCCCCGGGCACCA